rnacentral:lncRNA from 10 species
UGCUCUCCACCAGCUCCUUCGUCGGACUCAGUCUGGAUCUUCUCAACGCCCAGCUCCUGGCUCCGAGUCAGGGCUCUCUGGAUGCACGGUAAAGAAAGCAGGAAACUGUGACUAAAUGAAGAUCACAGAGCCAGUUGAUCAGUGGGGAAGCUGCAUCUGAAAUCCAGGACUUCUAGAUCCUGGGUCAACUGGAGGGGUCAUGCAUUCUGGAAAAUAAUGCAGAGUGGUACAGGCUGAAGCGGAGCGGAGAGGACACUGUUUCAAGAUUCCUGCGCCAGCUCCUUCGUUGUUAUAGAAGUUGGACUAAAUAAAAGGGUAAUCACAAGCGUACAGAUAACAGGCAGGCAGGAAUGUGAAAAUCAGAGAGAAGAGAGAUGUGCACCAGAAGCUGGAGUAAUGUGCUUUGAAGAUGGAGGAAGGGACCAUAAAUCAAGGAAUGCAGACAGCCUGUAGAAGCUGGGAAAGGCAAGGAUGUGGAUUCACUCGAGUCUCUAGAAGAAACGCAACCCCGCCAACACCUUGAUUUGAGGACGUCUGACCUUCAGAAUGAGAAAAUGAUACAUUUGUGUUGUAAGCCACCCAGUUUGUGAAAUAUGUAUCAACAAUUGAAAACUAGUACAUAGUCAAAUACUCAAUCUCUGUUUUUUUUAGCUUAUCAUUUUCAAUCUCUGUCUCCAACCCACAAACCACAUGCAUCAUAAAUAAAUUAAAAUACCAAAA